GGGGAAUAUUGCGCAAUGGGGGAAACCCUGACGCAGCAAUACCGCGUGAGUGAAGAAGGUUUUCGGAUCGUAAAGCUCUGUUAUUGGGGAAGAAAACGUGUGGGCUAAUAUCCUGCGCGGAUGACGGUACCUUGACAAGAAGCACCGGCUAACUACGUGCCAGCAGCCGCGGUAAUACGUAGGGGACAAGCGUUGUCCGGAUUUACUGGGCGUAAAGGGCACGCAGGCGGUUUUUUAAGUCAGAUGUGAAAGGUACCGGCUCAACCGGUGACAUGCAUUUGAAACUGAAAGACUUGAGUAUUGGAGAGGCAAGUGGAAUUCCUAGUGUAGCGGUGAAAUGCGUAGAUAUUAGGAGGAACACCGGUGGCGAAGGCGGCUUGCUGGACAAAUACUGACGCUGAGGUGCGAAAGCGUGGGGAGCAAACA
rnacentral:rRNA from 1 species